rnacentral:rRNA from 1 species
CCAGACUCCUACGGGAGGCAGCAGUGGGGAAUAUUGCACAAUGGGGGAAACCCUGAUGCAGCGACGCCGCGUGAGUGAAGAAGUAAUUCGUUAUGUAAAGCUCUAUCAGCAGGGAAGAAUUUAGACGGUACCUGACUAAGAAGCCCCGGCUAACUACGUGCCAGCAGCCGCGGUAAUACGUAGGGGGCAAGCGUUAUCCGGAUUCACUGGGUGUAAAGGGAGCGUAGACGGCCAUGCAAGCCUGGAGUGAAAGCCCGGGGCCCAACCCCGGGACUGCUCUGGGAACUGUGCGGCUGGAGUGCGGGAGGGGCAGGCGGAAUUCCUGGUGUAGCGGUGAAAUGCGUAGAUAUCAGGAGGAACACCGGCGGCGAAGGCGGCCUGCUGGACCGCGACUGACGUUGAGGCUCGAAAGCGUGGGGAGCAAACAGGAUUAGAUACCCUGGUAAU